rnacentral:antisense_RNA from 1 species
AAGUUUUGGAAGCAUCCCGCAUAGAUGUUUCCCACGGUUCAGAGGCCUGCCAGCCUGUUGAACCUUCGAAAAAACCGCCCUGCCAGGCGGUUUUUUUGU